rnacentral:rRNA from 1 species
GACGAACGCUGGCGGCGUGCUUAACACAUGCAAGUCGAACGGAAAGGCCCUGCUUUUAGGGUACUCGCGUGGCGAACGGGUGAGUAACACGUGGGUGAUCUGCCCUCCUCUUCGGGUUAAGCCUGGGAAACUGGGUCUAAUACCGGAUAGGAGCCAUUUUUAGUGUGAUGGUUGGAAAGUUUUUUCGGUGUAGGAUGAGCUUGCGGCCUAUCAGCUUGCUGGGUGGGUAAUGGCAUACCAAGGCGGCGACGGGUAGCCGGCCUGCGAGGGUGGACGGCCACAUGGGGACUGAGAUACGGCCCAGACGCCUACGGGAGGCAGCAGUGGGGAAUAUUGCACAAUGGGCGCAAGCCUGAUGCAGCGACGCCGCGUGCGGGAUGACGGCCUUCGGGUUGUAAACUCCUUUCGCUAGGGACGAAGCUGUUGUGACGGUACCUAGAUAAGAAGCACCGGCUAACUACGUG